GACUAAGACAGAGGUCUGGCUAAGACAUCUAUCACCCCAGUGGUCGCCAGGGUUGAUUCGGCUCAUCUGGCUGGUGAGGCCAUUGUCCCUUUCCUCCCUCACUGCUCCUGUGCUUCCCUCCAGAAGUUGUGCGCUCCAUUGAAGAGGAAGACCUUCGCCUAGGGAAGGAGGACCAUCCUUCAGUCAAGAGUUUACGAGGAGCUGCCCUUCCCCUGCUAGAACCUCCAAACAAGCUCUCAAGACAUGGGGUUUUUCACAGGCCUCAUCUCUGUGUGCAUGUUGGAUACUGAGUAAGGAAGACAGAAGACGAAUGUAUACAUUGGUAUUUGUCAUAAUGAAGAUUUU
rnacentral:snRNA from 1 species